UUGGCCUCCCAAAGUACUGGGAUUAUAGGUGUGAGCAACCAUGCCCGGCCAGGUCUCAGUCUUUUAGUGAGCCUUUUGUGAGCUUCACGAGUUUUUCUCAAUUUUUCCUCCCCUGUUACAUGGGAGAUGACGGCUAGAGUGAGCUGAACUUGGGUAUUUCCCUUCCUCUAGGUAAGUUAGUAUUUGAUUAUACUCCAGCAGGGUAGGCUCAGGUUAAGUAGUUUCUCCUGGGGUUAGGGUUCAUUAAGAAGAACAGAGUGCUCUGGUGUGUUUCACAAUAGUUCCCUUUUCCCUUCCCUGCUGAAACAUGAGGGAAUUUUCCUCUAAUAUUUACUGUGAGAACCUGGUUGUUCUGAAGGACUUAUUCCACAGGUCCCUUAGGUUCCAUUGAGUUUUCACAAAAGUAUAGCGGCUCCCCUGUAACUGAGUUUCCCUGAAGUUUUUAACUCUCAUAGUUGUCUGCACUGAACCUCUAGCAAUUUGUCAAUUAUAGUUUAGAUUUGCCUACCUGACAGUUUCCCAUGCUUAUUAGUGUUCAUGAGUCUGCUCUGGUAAGCCCGUUUCUCCCUCACUCAUCCAUCUUGAAUCCCCAUAAUGUGUAUGCUGGUCUGCUUAAUGGUGUUCCAUAGGAGUGUUAGGCUCUGUUCAGUUUUCUUCCACCUUUUUUGUUUCUGUUCCUCAGAUUUGUUAAUUUCAAGUGUUGUGUCUUUAAGUUUGCUGAUUCUUUUUUCUGCCUGCUGAAAACAGCUUUUGAAUCCCUCUAAUGAUUUUUUUCCAGCAAUUGUACUUGUCAACUCAUUUCUUCAUUAUUCUUUUUUAUCUUCUUUAUUUUUUUAAAGGAUACAUGUUUUUCAUACAUGAUUCACUGGAACUGCUGCAGGAUGCUCAUCAUGACUUAGAACUCCUGAGUACAUUGUCAUGAUGAACACGUGCAGAGAGAUUUACUAGCAUACAAUAUGAAUCUUCACACUCAUGGGGAAAAAGUAUUUUCUAGCCUGGACUGAAUAUAUAUGUAAGUGUUUUUAUAGCUGCCCUCUGUAAAUAAUCUCAGGGUGGCCUGUUGCUGUCUAAUGCUACAAAAAGGGAGGGCUGUUAAUAGUGGCCACUUCCUCCUGCAUACAGUAGAGAGAAGCCUGAUUAUAGAUGGUGCCAUCAUGGCCUUAAAAGAUGAUAUUAAACUGAGAAGUCAUUUUAGCUGCCUGAUUGACUAUUUUUUAUGUUUUUUAAUACAUUUACUGAUAUUUACUUUUGCUCACACAUCAUUAUCUUGGCACUGUCAAUAUCUUCCUUUAGUUCUGUGAGAUAUCUUUAAGACAGUUGUUUUAAAGCCUUUGUCUAGUAAGUUCACCAUUUCAUCUUCCUCAUGGAUUUUUGUCAAUUUAUGUUUUCAUUUGAAUGGAUCAUACUUUUUCUUGGCUUUGUCAUUUUAUUUUGAACUCUGAAUAUUUGAAUUUUAUAAUACAGUAUUCUGGAAAUCAAUUUCUCUCCCUUCCCUAUGGUUUGCUUUGUUUUUAUUUUUAUUUUUUUUUAAUUGUUAUAAGGUGUUCUGUGUAAAAGAUAAGCCUGAGGUAUAAACUUAAGGCCUUUCUCUUUUUCUCAGCCUGCCUUUUCCUCUGGGCAUGCAUAGUGACUUUCUAAAUUCCCCUAUAUAUGUAGCUGUUUUUGAAUGUUCUAAUUCUAUAAUCUCUGGGUCCCAAAAGAGAAGAAGAAAAAUGUAGGCGAAAAUGUAGGUACUGUCCUUAUAAAUCCCUUGAAGAUACUUCAGCCAGUGUGGGUUGCAACAAUGGCAUCCUGUCUUUACCUCUGCACUUCUACAACCCAAAGCAGUAAUCCACAAACAGAACCUGGAUCCCCAAUAUUUGGAGGAUAAGGUCCUUAAUUGCCCAUUCUGUCUUCCACAAGCUGUCGUAUAAACUCUAGUACCUGCUAGCUGGAGCACUGGAAAAUGGUUGGCUAGUAGCACACUAGGUUAAAACUGACCCAGAUUAACCACAAUCUACUAGUCAAGCCUUUUCCAGUAAGCUGUAAACAUUUGAAUAGACUACAAAGUUCCAAAAUAGUUAUAUCAGAGAGAUCCUGCCAGUUCAAUGGUUGUCCAGAUGGAGAAACAGAUUCCUGAUACAUACUACUCUGCGCCAUCUUCUGCUCCCCUAUAGACUUUCAUAAGCUAAGUAUAUUUGGUGUGGGUUAAAAAAAUAGAAACUCUUCAAGAUGAUUGUACUGUUACUUUAAAUGACCCAUGUUACUUUAAUAUUAUCUAAAUAAUACUAAGAAUAAUUUGAUUCAUGUCUAUAAAAAAUAAGUGUUGUGUUUUUAUUUCCUGAAAUUUUUCUUUUAACCAAUAUUAGUUAUAAAACCAUUUUUGGCAGCAAAUGGAAAGUGUUAUCUCCUCCCUAGAAUCUGUGCAUGUGUUUAUUACAGCUACAGAAUUGAAAGAUGAGUCAUUGAAGAUUACAAUGGUAAAUCUCUUUAUACUAAAAUGGAAAACUGGCAAUCAAUUUCUCUUUCUAUGAAUUAGAUAUUUCUUAUUUUAUACACACACACACACAGACGUGUGAGUAAAUCUUUAAAGGACCUCAUAACAUUUCUAUGAGCUAUGUAUUAUCCCUAUAAAACUAAGUAGAGAUCAUAAAUCAAAUUAAUGACAAAACUGAGAAUAAAAUUCAUGACAAAUCAUUCUUCAGUGUAUAACCACAGUGGUUGAUCUGUUAUUUUUAAUGAAAUUUAGGGGGAAAAAAGGGUAUUUGAUCUUUUAAAAAAAACAAGUAGGGAAUAAAUUAUAAGUUUAGGGAGAUUAAAUGCUACUAUUUUGUGGGUAGUUUAGUUAACUACUGGAACAAGAUGUGCCAAACCUUGUAAAGUAACAAGGUAACACUACUAGUAAAUGCUAGUAAAUAUGAAGUCAGAGAUCUGAUAUUAAAGUUACAACACUUGUUCUUUGGUAUCAGCCAAGAUGGAGAAAGUAACCAUAGCUUCUCUCUCCUACUGAUUGUUUACAGAGUACACAGUGAUUACCUGAUGACACUGAAUGUAAAAUAAUAGCAGGCAGAUUUGGGACUGAAGUCAGAGCUUGAAUAACAGCUCUUAAUGGGGCUAGGCCUAAUUGUGGAGCUGCAAUACUAUAAUGAUGACAGUGUUAGCACCCGAAGCCCAGAGAGAAGACCUACCUAUCUCUUUGGCUAAUGGAAACAAAAAAAAGAGCCGAUAUUGUCUAAAGAACUGAGGUAAGAGGAAUAUCUUUCUCUCUUUUUUUCUUUUCUUUGUUCUUUGUCCCAAAGGUCAGUUGUGUACAACUACAUAAUUGCAAAGGGAGUUAAUACUCUGUAAGAAACCUCUUCUGGUCAGAGUAACUGGGAAUGGGGUCCCCUGGAAUCUGGGGAGUGGGGGGGAAAUUCUUGGAAAGAAGACAGCUAAAGAAGGUGGAUUCUCUAAUUUUGUAUGUGAACUGACCCAAGUUCCAGGGUCACCCCUGAGCUGUGAAUACGUGGGACAGUAUAAAAGAAGUACAAGAAAAGCUUUUAAAACAUAAACAUAGUAUAUACUGCUGCCCAAGUCUCAAACUAACUCCUAAAUGGUUCAUGUACUGGGCAGACACUAACAAUAUAGCAAAGGCUGAGCCACUACCCACAGAAAGUGAGACAGAAUUUACAGUCUAAACCCAAUCAGAUCAAUUGCUAAAACUAACUAAAUUAAAAUUCCCCAGAGGAUUUUAACAGGAGUUAAAUAAUUUACUUACAAUGUAGUGUUCAGAAUGUCCAGGAUACAAUCCAAAAUUUCUCAACAUAGAACAAGGAAAAUUUGACCAGUUCUCAUUGGAAAAGAAAUCAACCGAUGUCAACUCCAAGUUACAAACAAGUUUCAACCAAUCAUAACCACAUCAACUUAUAAUAAUAUGACCAAAUGGUCAAAGACUACUGCUACAAAGACAGAGAAGAUGCAAUCUGGAAAUCAAGGUUUAGCCUGAGGAUUAUUCCACGCAAGGACAUUAUGUUAUUUGCUGCAAUACAACUUAUAGAAAGGAGUGAAGAAGCUGAGGGGGAAGACACUUAAAUUAUCCCAGUGGCACUCAUGGCUAUAAUGUUAUCUUCAUUCUUCACAGAGAGGUAUACUUUAUUUCUUUGUAUAUCAAUUAGUCCUUCCAGCAUGAUGGACUGCUUCUUCCACACUAUUGCCUUUGGCUUUUGGUCUUGCUCAUUCAGUGACACUGACAACCAUCAUCUUCAAACUGUACACACAAGAGAGGUUUACUGCUUCUUUCUUUUCAGCAUCUUUUGAAGGAACUUGGAUCCUUUCUGCUACUUCUCAUCUGUGUUCCAUUAAUAACUAUCUAAAAUGGUUACUACCUCCAGUGGACAUUUGUCCUUCAUAUUUUAGUAGCAGUUCCAAGUUCCAAUACUGGUAAAAUUAUUAGAAUAAUUCAAAUUGUUUACUUUGUUGCCUGAAUCUACUUUCUGAGUCCCUAUCAGAUGCCUUUUAUGGCAGGCAGUAACAACAAAGUUACGAAUAUUCUUCCCUUCUAAUUCAGUGAUAUUAUUCUGAGAAGUUCAUAGCACUUGACAGAUAUAAAGUACUCAUUUGUUGUCAUCUUACUACAUUUUAUGUGAAAAGCAACAGUAAGUCCAUUUCAUAGAUGGGCACCUAAUAUAUAGAGAUAGAAAUCCAUAUUCCUGAUUCCAGAGAGUAGUAAAGAAAGGAAUAUCCUGAAAUCUCCCUUCCUUAGACUAUGUCUCUAGAUAAAUAUACUUUUAGCAUUUUACUAAUAUAUCUGCAAAAUAUUUAUUUAUAUUUUAAUUGUUAAUUUCUUAGCACUCAUUUUGCAAAACCAAAGUAUUCUGGUAUGCUAGCCUCUUUUUAUUUCACAAGAGUAGAUUUGGAAGGGUGAACUAGAAAGGUGAUUUCAAGAUAUUAUUACUGAUAAAUUCAAGCUAAAAUAAGGAUUUAACAAGUCCUCUUUGGUAUUUCUUUUCCCUUUUCCACAACUAUACUAUUGUGUACCUUAGGUCCUACCCUGUUUGAUUUUUUCUUACAGAGAAUAAUUCUUAUAGUAUUUAUUCAACCAUCACUUACUUAUUUUUAAAGCUAAAGCUCUUUCUAAAUAUAUUGUAGAUAACAAUAGCAAAGAUUUAUAUCACAAGGAAAUAUUGUUUUUAGUGCCUUGCUUAUAUUAUUUACAUAAUAUAACUACUCUAUGAGGCAAGUACUCUUACUAUCUUCAUUUUACACAUAAGAAAACAGGUUUUUAAAGUUAAGUAAAUUAUAUGGGGUUGCACACUAAUAACAGGUGGAUCUAAGAUUCAAACCCAAGUAGUCUGUGCUCUUAACCACCAUAUUACUUUUAUUAUUUCUAUGCCCAUUAUGGAGCAGAAUUAACCAGUCUGUUAUGCUACUCCAUAAAAGGUUCUAUGGGCAACACUAUUUUUCUAGUUAGAACUGUAAUUAGAAACAGAACUUACCAUCACUUGCAUGUACACUUGCUUAUAUGUUUAUUUAAUAUAUGAUCUCUCUUAGCCAUAGGGCCCCAUAAAAGCUGAGUGCAUAUUCUGACAUAGAGUAGGUAUACAAUUAGGACAUAUAUUUAAAGGAAACUGAAUAUCUAAUUUUUAUUUGUGGGUUCUUCACAUAGGAAAUUUUUGUUUUUGCCUUAUUCUCAAAAUUGCAAAAAUUCUGACCUCAAGGAACAAUGUACUCUUCCCUCUUUAGUGCUAUUAUGUGGAAUAGGACCCUUUCAACUUAACAGUCUUAAAUGCAAAGUCAAUUAUUGCUCUAAUUAUUUAUCUAAAUGGUCUAAUUUUGUACCUAUAAUUUUUAUACUGGUACCAUUUUACUAUGGAGCUUUUAUUUUUUCAUGCAUAAAAAAUAGAGAAUGUAUAUUUUGGGCAAGUCUCUGCCUGGUGGAAAGAUUAAAUGCAAAAAUAAUCCAAAAGUAAGCAGACUUAAGGAGAAUCGUAACAUUUCUUUUCAAAUAUCAGAAAUGUCAUCUAAAGGAGGAAUUAACCUUCUUUUGAGUACAGCCAAGAGCAGAAUUAGGACAAGUGGGUAGACAUUACAAGGUGACAGAUUUCAGUUUGAUAUAUUUAGACUUUCAAACAACUAGAGUUGUCUAAAUAAUGAACUCUUUGAUAGAAGAAGUGAUGAUUGAAAUGUUCAGGCUGGAAUGAUGGAAAGGGCAUGCUAGGGCUUUGAACAUGAUGGUCUUUGUUCUCUUCAAAUUCUGAGAUACUAUGAUUACUAUUAUAAAGUUUGUAAUUUUAUACAAAUGCUAAGCUAACUAGAGAUAUAGCACUGACAAAAUCUAUGAUAACAUAUUCCUUGAUUGUCUUGAUUCUUGAUUCUAAGGGAAAUAUUGAUUGAAAAGGUUUCCAAACAAUAAAUCAACACAAUUGGAAUUUGGUGCCUUUCAGUACUUUAAAUUUGAUAAAUAAAUAAAUAGAUAGAUAGUUACUAUGUUCGCAGAUUAAAUCAAAACUUUUUUUUUUUUUUUUUUAACCAGGGCAUAAAAACAAACUCCAAAAAGAAUAAAGUUAGUCCUACUGAGGAAUGUAUUCAUAUGCAUUUGAAUAAAUGCUGAUCCAAAAAAGUAUCUAAGAAAGUCCUGAAAGCAUGAUUUUACUGUCUAUACUGACUGAUAGUAGACUUAUGAGUUCUGGUUUCCAAGGAAUCUUUGAAUAAGGACAGUGAUAUGGUUUGGUUGUGUCCCCACCCAAAUCUGGUCUUGAAUUGUAAUUCCCAUAAUCCCUAUGUGUAAUGGGAGGGACUCAGCGGGAGGUAUUAAUAAUUUAAUCAUGGGGCAGUUACCCUCAUACUUUUCUCAUGGUUCUCAUGAUAGUGAGUUCUCUUGAGAUCUGAUGGUUUUAUAAGGGGCCUUUCCCCCUGUGGCUCUGCACUUCUACUUGCUGCCACCAUGUGAAGAAGGACGUGUUUGCUUCAACUUCCACCAUGACUGUAAGUUUCCUAAGGCCUACCACACCCUGCUGAACUGUGAGUCAAUUAAGCCUCUUUCUUUUACAAAUUAUCCAGUCUUGGGUAUGUCUUUAUUAGCGAUGUGAGAACAGACUAAUACAGUAAAUUUCUCAUUUCUAUAUUUGGUCCCUCCCUAGCCAGUCUGAAAGAAAUAAAAUAAUGUAGGUCUAGUGUAUCCAUCCUUCUAUGUAAAGUGAAUUCUCUGUUUUAGCCAGAAAGAUUUUAUGUUUGUAUUUCUCUGUGCCUUGCUCAACAUUUUCCUUCUUCUUUACUCCUACCAUAAUGUCUUCCUCUUUCAAAACCUGAAUCCCACUCAAUUUUAGCUUAAAUUUUACAAAAAUUUCACUGAUUACUCAAGUUCACUUUUAAUCUUUCUCUUUGAAUAAAUCUUUUUGCCUGAAUUGGCUGAAUAUUUCUGGUACCAGGUUUAUACUGUCUUGAAUUGUCAUGUGACUAUUUUAGGAGUAUAUGUACUUCAGCUUUGGGUUCGAUAAAGCCCAAGGUGCUUCAUAAAUAUUUGUUACAUUGAACAAAGACAAUGAAUGCUGUUCUUACCAAACAGGAAGGUGCUAAGUGUGCCUAUGAUCUGAAAAAAAAAAUUCUGCUUUCAGUGGACAAUAUAAAAAUAAUUAUAAACCCCAGAUAUACAGUGGGCUAUUGCUAAAAAGCUAUUUUUUCACAUAUCUGGCUGUUUCAAGACAAGUCCUUAUUUUUAAGACAUAUCCACCAGUUAUGUUUGUAGUUAACAAUAGCUAUUAGAAACACAAUGGUUAGUAGCAAAAGUAUUUGGGGCUACCAUAUCUAAUUAGAGAUAAUAGGUAGUACUGUUAAAUGAGGAAGAAAAAGAACGAAUACUGAGCAUCUACAAAGAUUACAGGCAUUAUGUUAGAUCCUUUUACACACAUUUAUUGCCAUUUACUACUUGAAAAAUCUUGGGCAAGUCAAUGAAUCAAUCUGUGUCACAGUUUCUGCAUCUUUAAGGCAGAGCUAACAAUAAAUAGUACCUGCCUUAUACAUAUAUUAUUUAUUUAUUUAUUUUUUAAGACAGCGUCUCACUCUGUCACCCAGGU